rnacentral:rRNA from 1 species
UACGGGGGGGGCAAGCGUUGUUCGGAAUUACUGGGCGUAAAGGGCUCGUAGGCGGCCAACUAAGUCAGACGUGAAAUCCCUCGGCUUAACCGGGGAACUGCGUCUGAUACUGGAUGGCUUGAGUUUGGGAGAGGGAUGCGGAAUUCCAGGUGUAGCGGUGAAAUGCGUAGAUAUCUUGAGGAACACCGGUGGCGAAGGCGGCAUCCUGGACCAACACUGACGCUGAGGAGCGAAAGCCAGGGGAGCAAACGGG